rnacentral:snRNA from 1 species
GGAGGGGGCUGGAUGUUGGCCAGAGACCAUCUCAGCUUCUAGAAGCCACCAGAACUUUCUAGAAAUCACAUGGAAUCCUGGCUGGCAAGGCAGGUGUCUCCUUCCUCCCUCUGCGCUCCACGUGUGUCCCUCCAGAAGCUGUGUACUUGGUCGAAGAGGACAACGACCCCUGAUAGAGCAGGACCGUUUCUCCAUCAAGGGGAUUCGAGCAGCUGCAUUCCCCUGCUGAACUUCCAAACAAGCUCUCAGAGGAAUCCUAAGAAGAUGAAGAAUAGAAUAUAGAGCCAUGUGGGUCACAUUAGAGUCUGUCUACCAU